AAAAAAUUAGUUAAACUUAUAACAUUAGAUUGUCAAUCUAAAAUCAUUUUAUAAUAAAUAUUUUUUA
rnacentral:tRNA from 1 species